rnacentral:rRNA from 1 species
UGGAGACUGGGAUAACCCGUCGAAAGACGGACUAAUACCAGAUAAGACCACGGACAGUUCGCUGUCCGAGGUAAAAGGUGGCCUCUGCUCCUGCAAGCUAUCACUCCUGGAGGGGUCCGCGGCCUAUCAGCUAGUUGGCGGGGUAAUGGCCCACCAAGGCAAAGACGGGUAGCUGGUCUGAGAGGAUGGUCAGCCACACUGGGACUGAGACACGGCUCAGAGUCCUACGGGAUGCAGCAGUCAGGAAUAUUGCGCAAUGGAGGAAACUCUGACGCAGCGACGCCGCGUGGGUGAUGAAGGCCUUCGGGUCGUAAAGCCCUGUCGGAGGGAAAGAAAAGCUCGCUGGCUAAUAUCCAGCGAGCCCUUGACGGUACCCUCAAAGGAAGCACCGGCUAACUCCGUGCCAGCAGCCGCGGUAAGACGGAGGGUGCAAGCGUUGUUCGGAUUGACUGGGCGUAAAGGGCGUGUAGGCGGUCGGCCAAGUCUGAUGUGAAAGCCCGAGGCUCAGCCUCGGAAGUGCGUCGG